rnacentral:rRNA from 1 species
GGCCUCCCACUCAAUUUAUUUUGCGACAUUGAGAGAUGUUGAAAGUAAGAAGAGAUAAAUUGAGUGGUGAGGUAGCGGCGGACGGGUGAGUAAUGCUUAGGAAUCUGCCAUUUAGUGGGGGACAACAUUCCGAAAGGGAUGCUAAUACCGCAUACGCCCUACGGGGGAAAGCAGGGGAUCUUCGGUCCUUGCGCUAAAUGAUGAGCCUAAGUCGGAUUAGCUAGUUGGUGGGGUAAAGGCCUACCAAGGCAACGAUCUGUAGCGGGUCUGAGAGGAUGAUCCGCCACACUGGGACUGAGACACGGCCCAGACUCCUACGGGAGGCAGCAGUGGGGAAUAUUGGACAAUGGGGGGAACCCUGAUCCAGCCAUGCCGCGUGUGUGAAGAAGGCCUUUUGGUUGUAAAGCACUUUAAGCGAGGAGGAGGCUACCUGGAUUAAUACUCUAGGAUAGUGGACGUUACUCGCAGAAUAAGCACCGGCUAACUCUGUGCCAGCAGCCGCGGUAAUACAGAGGGUGCGAGCGUUAAUCGGAUUUACUGGGCGUAAAGCGUGCGUAGGCGGCUGAUUAAGUCGGAUGUGAAAUCCCCGAGCUUAACUUGGGGAAUUGCAUUCGAUACUGGUCAGCUAGAGUAUGGGAGAGGAUGGUAGAAUUCCAGGUGUAGCGGUGAAAUGCGUAGAGAUCUGGAGGAAUACCGAUGGCGAAGGCAGCCAUCUGGCCUAAUACUGACGCUGAGGUACGAAAGCAUGGGGAGCAAACAGGAUUAGAUAC